rnacentral:rRNA from 1 species
GACGAACCGUGCGAACGUUGUUCGGAUUCACUGGGCUUAAAGGGCGCGUAGGCGGGCGGUCAAGUCAGGGGUGAAAUCUUUUGGCUCAACCGGAAAAGUGCCUUUGAUACUGGCCGUCUCGAGGGAGGUAGGGGCAUGCGGAACUUCCGGUGGAGCGGUGAAAUGCGUAGAUAUCGGAAGGAACGCCGGUGGCGAAAGCGGCGUGCUGGACCUCUUCUGACGCUGAGGCGCGAAAGCCAGGGGAGCAAACGGGG